GUUAGGUUAUUCCCAGUUCUCAAAAGUUCAUACAGAACGAUUCUUAUCUACACGUUCAUUGGUUUAAUAUACUGUAAUAGUAACGCCGGAUCUGCCAAAUCUUGGGAUUGACUAGUAUUGAUCUCUUCUCCCCAUCAGACGUUGAGAAAAGGGAUACUUGCAGAGUUUGUUUGUGCAUUCGCUCCCUCUCAAAGAAAGCAAGGGAUGCCCACUGAUUUGGUUGGAUUAAUCCGCAGAAGCAUGGAGCAAUUCACAGUGUAGCUCUUCAAGUUCUGCUAGUUGCAGUCAAUCCAUGGAAUCAAGAGUAAAUUACAGAAAAAUUGGGGGUGCGGACUACACCAGACAAUCUGAUUCAUAUUCUAAAGCAUCUGAUGAUGGAGAAAGCAAUUUAAUUAGGGAAAUUGAUUUUCAUAGCCCAAACUCAAAAACUUCAUGUGAUAAUAUGUCUCUCUUGAUUUUGAUUUCAAGUGUAGAGAAUUCCACGGGAGGAAAUUCAGUGAUUGUAGAGAACUUUAUCUCUUCAAACAUAUUUCAUUCAGAUAUUUGGGAUCAACAGACAGAAGGGAACAGACUUGAUCAUUAUAGACAACUCAGUUUAGUAGAAUAAAUGGUUUCCCCUAAAACAGAUCACCAGAUAAAUGAUAACCAUCAAUUAGAUGCUGCUCAGCUAUAUAUUAUGUUAUCCCCUCAUGCACCAAGUCUCAAAUUGAAUUAAAUGUACUACUAAAAUAUCUAGAAAAUAAACAAAACAAGAGGGAAAAAAACAUUAAACUUAACGUACUAAAAUAGAUUAAACCAAUGGACGUAUAGAUGAAGAAUCGUUCUGUUUGAACUUUUGAGAGUUGGGAAAUCACCAAAAGAGUUGCUUUGGUGUAGGACUUUGCUUGGAAAUGGGAAAUUAUCAAAUGAAGUUCUAUUCUGUCAGUGGUCCUCCCUUCUUAAUCCUAAUUGGCUUAUUAAUUGACUUGACCAAUAAAAAAUCGUGGGAGGACAAAUUCAUCCUUCUUGGAAUUCGCCAAGAAAAAUCCCCGGUGGCCGAUCUUGAAAACAUUACAAACCCUACUACUCUUAUUUGCCGUCCUCCUCUUUCAGACGAGAGACAUCUCUCGUGCUUCUGUAAAAAUGGAGGAGUUUCUGGCAACUCCUAGCAAGAGCAGAGGACGGAAGAAGAGUUUGAAUGAAGAAGAAGA